GCCGCUGUAGCCCUGUUGGUAGAGGCGUCGCCAGUACAGAUAGCGAAAGUCGCUGGUUCAAAUCCAGCCGGCGGUG